rnacentral:rRNA from 1 species
UGGGCGGCGGGUGCUAUACAUGCAAGUCGAGCGAAUGGAUUAAGAGCUUGCUCUUAUGAAGUUAGCGGCGGACGGGUGAGUAACACGUGGGUAACCUGCCCAUAAGACUGGGAUAACUCCGGGAAACCGGGGCUAAUACCGGAUAACAUUUUGAACCGCAUGGUUCGAAAUUGAAAGGCGGCUUCGGCUGUCACUUAUGGAUGGACCCGCGUCGCAUUAGCUAGUUGGUGAGGUAACGGCUCACCAAGGCAACGAUGCGUAGCCGACCUGAGAGGGUGAUCGGCCACACUGGGACUGAGACACGGCCCAGACUCCUACGGGAGGCAGCAGUAGGGAAUCUUCCGCAAUGGACGAAAGUCUGACGGAGCAACGCCGCGUGAGUGAUGAAGGCUUUCGGGUCGUAAAACUCUGUUGUUAGGGAAGAACAAGUGCUAGUUGAAUAAGCUGGCACCUUGACGGUACCUAACCAGAAAGCCACGGCUAACUACGUGCCAGCAGCCGCGGUAAUACGUAGGUGGCAAGCGUUAUCCGGAAUUAUUGGGCGUAAAGCGCGCGCAGGUGGUUUCUUAAGUCUGAUGUGAAAGCCCACGGCUCAACCGUGGAGGGUCAUUGGAAACUGGGAGACUUGAGUGCAGAAGAGGAAAGUGGAAUUCCAUGUGUAGCGGUGAAAUGCGUAGAGAUAUGGAGGAACACCAGUGGCGAAGGCGACUUUCUGGUCUGUAACUGACACUGAGGCGC